GGACCGGUUAGCUCAGUCGGUUGAGCAUGGUGCUGAUAACACCAAGGUCGCGGGUUCAGUCCCUGUUCAGUCCC
rnacentral:tRNA from 1 species